rnacentral:rRNA from 1 species
UGUUCCUACGGGGGGCAGCAGUGAGGAAUAUUGGUCAAUGGUCGGGAGACUGAACCAGCCAAGCCGCGUGAGGGAUGAAGGUACAGAGUAUCGUAAACCUCUUUCGUCAGGGAACAAAGGCGGGGACGCGUCCCCGGAUGAGUGUACCUGAAGAAAAAGCAUCGGCUAACUCCGUGCCAGCAGCCGCGGUAAUACGUAGGGGGCAAGCGUUAUCCGGAUUUACUGGGUGUAAAGGGAGCGUAGACGGCAGCGCAAGUCUGAAGUGAAAUCCCAUGGCUUAACCAUGGAACUGCUUUGGAAACUGU